ensembl:lncRNA
CACGUUACCUUCCUGCUUCAACUUGAUUCCUAUGUUCUCCACUCCCUGUGUAAAUCAUUUCUCCUGGUCUUGGCUUCCUUGAUCUCUCAGUGUUGUGUUCACCCUCUGAAAUUGUUACUUUGGGAUACUCCGAAGGGUGGAGCAAACUUUGGUGUUUAAAGUCAUCACUGACGACUGGUAGGAUAAAGACAGUUUGCCAAAAGAUUUCCAAGCAUGCCAGUUGUCUCACGGUCUUCAUUCUGCUGGAUCUAGAGAUGGGCAGGGAUCAAACUCAGGACCUGGUGCCUACCAGGCAGGCGCUGUGCCGCUGAGCUAACUCCCCGGCCCCUGCUGUGUUUUGAUAACCUGGCUGAGGCCACCCCUGCACACCAGAGGUGUCCACGCAGAGGGACGACCAUGUAGAGAGAUAGCCUAGAAUCACCUUAGAGGAGACUGUGCUUGGAUCUGACUUUCAGCCUCUGGAACAGGAAGAAAAUAAAAGUCUGCUGUUGAAGCCAGUCUGGGAUGGGGAUGCAUUUUUUUAUGGAAGCUCAAGCUUCCAUAAAACUGUUAGAGAAGGUAAAGUAACCAUUUGAAUGAGCAAGUUAUAGUGUCUCUGAUUCACACUGCUACACUUGCCGCACCAUUCAUGUCCUGCUUCCUAAAUCUCCCUUUCAUCCCAAAAUACCAGAAGCAAUCUGAAAGGUGAGAAUAUUUCCUAUGCCAACACUUAAUCUGCUGGAAGAUACAAUAGGUAAAACUCUUGAAGACAUAGGCAUAAGCAAGGACUUUCUGACCUAGAACCCCAAUUGCACAAAAAAUAACAUCAAGAAUCAACAAAUGGAAUCAUAUCAAAUUAAAAAGCUUCUGCACAGCAAAGGAAAUGAUCAAAAGAGUGAAGAGACAACCUGCAAAAUGAGAAAAAAAUUUGCCAGCUAUUCCUCUGACAGAAAACUACCAUCUAGAAUAUAUAAAGAACUAAAAAAAUCAGACCCCUUCAAAUAAAAGAUCUUCUCCAAAAAAUGGGCAACUGAAAUGAUAGACACUGCUCGGAAAAAGUACAAAUGGCCAACAAACACAUGAGAACAUGUUUAACAUCUCUGGCCAUGAGAGAAGUGCUAAUGAAAACACCACUGAGAUUCCAUCUUACUCCAGAAAAAAAAAAAAAAAAAGGCUGUUAGCAAGAAACCAAAUAGUAGCAAAUGCUGGCAAGGCUGUGGGGAAAAAGGAACUCUUCUAUGUUGUUGUUGGGAAACUAGUACAUAAACUAGUACAACCACUAUGGAACCAGUAUAAAGAUUCCUUGAAAAACUAAAACUAGAAAUUCCAAUUGACCCAACUAUUCCCCUUCUAGGUAUCUUCCUGAAAGAGUUAAAGUCAUCAUAUUAUAGUGCUAUGUGCACAUCCAUGUUUAUAGCAGCACAAUUCUUAACAGCUAAAUCUUGGAAAUGGCCUAUAUGUCCAUCAGCAGAUGACUGUAUCAAGAACAUAUGGUAUUUACACACAAUGGAGAACUAUUCUGCCAUAAAGGAUAGCCUUGAGUUAUUUGUAGUAAAAUGGAUACACUUUGAGAUCAUAAUUUCAAGUGAAAGGAAUCAGACAUACAAGCUUAAAUAUCGCAUGAGAAAUCCAAAGUAUAAAUAAAGAGAAAAAUAAAAGAUAAUAGGAAAUAG